rnacentral:rRNA from 1 species
UACGUAGGGUGCAAGCGUUAAUCGGAAUACUGGGCGUAAAGCGUGCGCAGGCGGUGAUGUAAGACAGGUGUGAAAUCCCCGGGCUUAACCUGGGAACUGGCAUUUGUCGACUGCAUCGCUGGAGUGCGGCAGAGGGGGAUGGAAUUCCGGCGUGUAGCAGUGAAAUGCGUAGAUAUGCGGAGGAACACCGAUGGCGAAGGCAAUCCC